UCUCCGUUGGUGAACCAGCGGAGGGAUCAUUACAGGACUCGCAAGACUCCUUCACCCUGUGAACCUCACUACAAGCACGUUGCUUCGGCGGGUGUCCCGGCGGGGGUUUUCCCUCGCCGGGGCGCACAGCCCGCCGGCAGCCUACUAUACUCUGUCUCUUUGCGUUGGCAUCUCGAGAAAAAACAAACAAGUUAAAGCUUUCAACAACGGAUCUCUUGGUUCUG
rnacentral:misc_RNA from 1 species